UAGGGAAUCUUCCGCAAUGGGCGAAAGCCUGACGGAGCAACGCCGCGUGAGUGAUGAAGGUCUUCGGAUCGUAAAACUCUGUCAUUAGGGAAGAACAAAUGUGUAAGUAACUAUGCACGUCUUGACGGUACCUAAUCAGAAAGCCACGGCUAACUACGUGCCAGCAGCCGCGGUAAUACGUAGGUGGCAAGCGUUAUCCGGAAUUAUUGGGCGUAAAGCGCGCGUAGGCGGUUUUUUAAGUCUGAUGUGAAAGCCCACGGCUCAACCGUGGAGGGUCAUUGGAAACUGGAAAACUUGAGUGCAGAAGAGGAAAGUGGAAUUCCAUGUGUAGCGGUGAAAUGCGCAGAGAUAUGGAGGAACACCAGUGGCGAAGGCGACUUUCUGGUCUGUAACUGACGCUGAUGUGCGAAAGCGUGGGGAUCAAACAGG
rnacentral:rRNA from 1 species